rnacentral:snRNA from 1 species
GGAUGUGAGGGAGAUCUGGCUGCGACAUCUGUCACCCAUUGAUCGCCAGGGUUGAUUCGGCUGAUCUGGCUGGCUAGGCGGGUGUCCCCCUCCUCCCUCACUGAUCCAUGUGCAUCCCUCCUGAAGCUGCGCGAUUGGUCAAAGAGUACGAUCUCCCCCCGCCAGGAGAGGACCGGUCUUUGGUCAAGGGUAUAGGAGUAGCUGCGCUCCCCUGCUAGAACCUCCAAACAAGCUCUCAAGAAUACAAACAAUUAUCCUUUAAGUGGCUCAACAUCUAGUGAAAGAAGUUACACACACAUUUAAAGGAAAGAAGUACGCAUAUAUGUGAGAUGUA